AUUUUUUCUUCCUUUCUUUCAUCUUUUGCUCACUUCUUUUCAUUUUUUAUUUUUUUCAUUUCUUUUCCACCACAUUUCUGCAAUUUUUUUCCCUUGUCAAAAUCCAGCUUUUUUUUUUAUUUUUUAUUUUUUCUUCUUUUCUUUCAUCUUUUGCUCACUUCCUUUCAAUUUUUAUUUUUUUUCCUUUCUUUUCUACCACAUCUCUGCAAUUUUUUUUCUCGUGUCAAAACCCAGCUUUUCUUUGUUUUUUUUCUUCCUUUCUUUCAUCUUUUGCUCACUUCCUUUCAUAUUUUUUUUUUCUUUCUUUUCCACCACCUCUCUGCAAUUUUUUUCCUCUUUCAAAACCAAGUUUUUUUUUUUUUUUUUUAAAUUCCUUUCUUUUGUCUUUUCCUCACUUCUUCUCUUCUCCUUCAUCAAGACAUGUUACAUCUUUUUUUUUUCUUUUCUUCCUUUCUUUUGUCUUUUCCUCUCUUCAUUUUUAUGUUUUAUUAUUAUUUUUUUUUGGCUCCCUUUUUGUUUCGAGCCAGCCAUUAAUCAAUGAUGAAAGGUCUUAUUUGUAUUCAGAAAGCUACAAUGGCAGUGCUGAUAAGGGAAAAACUCAACCAGCAGGUUAUAAAUUUGGAAUGCAAAGGAAGGACAAGAAAGAGUUGUAGUAUGAUUUGAAAAACCUGUUGAAUUAGGAAAUCUUCAAGAUGCAGCUUUUCUUAAUGUUGUCGUGAAGGUUUACUGCACCCAUACUGCACCUGACUAUUCUCUUCCUUGGCAAAAACAAAGACAAUAUACAAGUACUGGCAGGCAAGGUUAAGGUGAAGAGAAGGGGAGAUAAUACCAAAUACGUUUCCAAGGUAUAUCUAUAUCAUAAUUAUUUGUGUUAUCUCAGUAUGUUUUUGCUACCCCUCAUAGGUCUGAGAUGGCUUCCUUUAUCUUCUUGAAGUAGUUGAACAACAAAAAAUUAUGUUCUUUAAUGUAUACUGUUUAGCAUUUGAGCACUUAGAGUCACAAACCAUAUGUGGGACAAGUGUAACAAGAAUGAGCAUCAUGAGAUGUGAAUGAAACUGUUGACAAUCAUUAGUGGGAUAGUUGGACUUUUUUUUUUUUUUUUUUUUGGUUAAGUGGGAUAGUUGGAGUUAUUUCAUAGUACUAGCAGGUUGUAGAUAUUGGAAAAUGAAAAACAAGGGCUUGAUGUUAUGGCCUCUUUGAAUUUCAAUUUGCAUUUCACAUUUGCAAAACAAUUUGUGAGACUCUUAUUAUGAUAUCACUCUUUAAAUUUUGGUGAGAUUUUCUGAGGUGG